GAAGCUGACGGAGCACGCCGCGUGAGGGAUGAAGGCCUUUGGGCUGUAAACCUCUUUUCUCAAGGAAGAAGACCUGACGGUACUUGAGGAAUAAGCCACGGCUAAUUCCGUGCCAGCAGCCGCGGUAAUACGGGAGUGGCAAGCGUUAUCCGGAAUUAUUGGGCGUAAAGCGUCCGCAGGCGGCCGUUUAAGUCUGUUGUUAAAUCGUGGAGCUCAACUCCAUCACGGCAAUGGAAACUGUUCGGCUUGAGUAUGGUAGGGGCAGAGGGAAUUUCCGGUGUAGCGGUGAAAUGCGUAGAUAUCGGGAAGAACACCAGUGGCGAAAGCGCUCUGCUGGACCAUUACUGACGCUCAUGGACGAAAGCCAGGGGAGCGAAAGGGAUUAGAUACCCCUGUAGUCCUGGCCGUAAACGAUGAACACUAGAUGUUGGGGGAAUCGACCCCCUCGGUGUCGUAGCUAACGCGUUAAGUGUUCCGCCUGGGGAGUACGCACGCAAGUGUGAAACUCAAAGGAAUUUU
rnacentral:rRNA from 1 species